rnacentral:rRNA from 1 species
AUGCUUCUACUUUCUGUAUGGAGCUGGGAGCGUCUGCCUGUUGGACGCCCGAAGAGCGUCAGGUUUAAUCUUUGGUAUGAAGAUGAAGAUGACGAAUUACGGCGCCCCACUUGGGCUUACAAGUGGGAUGUGGUUUUCGAGAUGACGAAUGAUGUCAAUCUCAUGUAUGCAACCCAACGUUGCUCAGAGUUCACGCGCAUUGUCUUCCAACGGAUGUGCAUUCCAAAACCAACAUUAUGCCUUCCCUCAAACUCAACAACGUCACUUGGGUUCAUCCAAUUCAAAUCCUUCCUCACUUGUUCCAAGAGCUCCGCAUAG